CAGCCGUAAACUAUGCUCGCUAGGUGUCAGGCAUGGCGCGACCGUGUCUGGUGCCGCAGGGAAGCCGUGAAGCGAGCCACCUGGGAAGUACGGCCGCAAGGCUGAACUUAAGGAUUGGCGGGGGAGCACAACAACGGGUGGAGCCUGCGGUUUAAUGGACUCAACGCCGGACAACUCACCGGGGACGACAGCAAUAUGUAGGCCAGGCUGAAGACCUUGCCUGAAUCGCUGAGAGGUGGUGCAUGGCGUAGACGUCU
rnacentral:rRNA from 1 species